AGAACUUGUGCGCUGCUCGCGAACAUAGCGUGGAGGUCCUCGCGGCGAUUCUAUUGCAAGUCCGUUCCAUUACUUGAGUCUAUUCGAGCUGACUUUUUGAAAGUUUGGACGGCGACGGGUCGUUCGCCAAAGGCUUCAAGAUGAUCAACAAACUGACAGUGAUUCGCUUUCUUUUGUUUAGUGUUCUUCUGCAACAAGUGCAGUGUGAGUGUAAGAAAAACUGGCGCGCCUACAAAAACAACUGUUACUACUUCUCCCAAUACGCCCGGAAUUUUAAGAAGGCUGAACGCCACUGUUUGUCACUUGAAAGCAACCUGACCAGCAUUCAAGACACCGAUGAGAGGGACUGGCUGAUCAAAACUCUGGACAAAAGCAAGGUCCCAUCUUUAACCUAUAUACAUAUAUUAUACACAUAUAUGGUAGCUUUAGAGAUUGAUCUAUAACAUGUCUUUUUUUGUAGUUCCCAUGGAGCACCUGGAUGGGCCUGAAGUACAAAUCAGGAGGCUGGAAGUGGACUGAUGGAAGUCGUUUCAACAGAUCCGUGGCGUUCUGGGGGGAGGAUCAGCCCUCAAUGUAUUUGUCUGUGACAACUAGCCGAUGUGCUUCCAUGUUGAGCCGCGAUGAUGGGCGCUGGUACAACUAUAACUGCAUCUUCACCGACAUGCCAUACAUCUGCAAACGUUUCAUGGAACCCCAGUUGUUUGUGGCGCCAAAUGGCUUUGGAGCUUUGGACAAAACAGAGAAACUGGCACUGGAGGUCGUCACCAAUAUGGUCAUUUCGGGAAAGGUCGUGCCCAAAACAGCGCUCAACAUAACUCUGAUCAAUGGACUGUCCUGUUCAUCUCGUGGUGUCAACUGCUCACGCGCACUGGACAUUAAAGAUUACAAGGCUAGGAAGGUACGUCUCAUUUUUG